GUGAGGAAUAUUGGUCAAUGGACGGAAGUCUGAACCAGCCAAGUAGCGUGCAGGAUGACGGCCCUAUGGGUUGUAAACUGCUUUUAUGCGGGGGUAAAGUGAGUGACGUGUCAUUCAUUGCAAGUACCGCAAGAAUAAGGACCGGCUAAUUCCGUGCCAGCAGCCGCGGUAAUACGGAAGGUCCUGGUGUUAUCCGGAUUUAUUGGGUUUAAAGGGAGCGUAGGCCGUCAGGCAAGCGUGUUGUGAAAUGUCGUGGCUCAACCAUGGACUUGCAGCGCGAACUGCCCGACUUGAGUGCGCAGAAAGCAGGCGGAAUUUGUGGUGUAGCGGUGAAAUGCUUAGAUAUCACGAAGAACCCCGAUUGCGAAGGCAGCCUGCUGUAGCGCUACUGACGCUGAAGCUCGAAAGUGCGGGUAUCGAACAGGAUUAGAUACCCCAGUAGUCC
rnacentral:rRNA from 1 species